AUGACAAGGAAAGUGCAAUCAAGCCUUACCCUGGCGUCUAGGUGGCGGCUGUCGUGUCGUUACCGACGGGUUCACUGCGAGUUGUGCACACACGCUUGUGCCCUGCCCUUUCUUGCUCCAUACGGCACCGGGCAGCAGCACGAGCCACGAUGCAAGACAAGCCCUCAGCGACGGUGCGCGGGCUGGGCGAUGCCUCCCUGCAGCCGCCAGCUUGGACGCCCCUUUUCCUCGUGGCACCACGGCGGCUGCAUGCAGCCGGACACAGACCUCCUCCCCCCUUUCCUGCCUCUGCACCRCCCGAUGCAUCCCCCUUCCCGCUCGCCUGGCCCUGUGUCCGUGCUGACAGCUGGAGCGCAGCUCCUCCGCCUGCACCAGCCCUUGCAAAACCCCGUGCAAAGGUUAUGUGAAGCACGGCGCCGGGGCCGCCCUCGCCCACGUUACCCCGUUUCUGCGGAGUUUGAUGCACGCACGGUGCUGGGGAGCAGGGAGAUGCCGGGCGAAGCUGCCGGCGCCGGCGGCUCGCGGGGAGACGCUCUGGUGCCGCGAGUCUGCCGCUGGCCCGGCCGCCGACAGCCGAGCACCUCGUCCCGCGGGCACCCGGCGCCGUGUUUGACUAGGCUGGGCGGAGGGCGCCCCGCGCAAUCAGAGAUUAUUUUUAAAGUGCCUGGCGUGAGCCAGCCUGAGUCAACAGCUCGCCGUAGUCAUGUCCUCGCGCCCGCCUACAAAGGGCCAGAGCUCUGCAGCUUCCGAGCGAAUCCGCGGAGCCCUGGGGCCCCUCUCCCGCUGCCGACACCGACUCGGGCUCUCAGCAGCGGGAUGCGAAUCAGGCCGGCGGCUGCAUCCUCGUGGGCGCUGAGCACCCGCAGCGGGGCCGCCGGGGCGCUUUGCACGCCGCCAGCCCCCCGUCGCAGCGGACGGCGGGGAGCAGCGAGCAAACAAGCACGUCCAGGCGACAUCCAAAGGCAGGUACUUGCUGCAGCCCCUCGGGGACGCGAACAAUGA
rnacentral:lncRNA from 1 species